GUCCGUUUACGUUUUCUUUCUAUGAUUUAGUCAUUGCCAAUUAAAAAUCUCUCUUGCGUUUUGAGGUAAGGGAUUUGUUCUUACAUAUUCUGCUUAAUUAUUUAUCCUGAUUAAGUUAAGAACGAGUGAAUAUUUAAGAGAAAAAGAAUAUUUUGGCUCAGUGCAAAAUAGCACAAAAACCGGAUUUUUAAACAAGAAGAAAUAUCUCCCACAACGGUAAAAUUUGACAUGAACAGUUUAUUAUCGG
rnacentral:lncRNA from 1 species